rnacentral:lncRNA from 1 species
CUUUGUGUAUUUAUAAGCAAUUCAUGCAUGACUUUCAUCCUCAUUUGACCGAGGCUAUAAUCUAAAAUACCAGUUUAAAAACUUACAUUAUCAAAUGAACCAGUGUUGCCAGUAUGCCUGAUUCAGGAGAUGACUCUUGAUUGGGAAAAGUUAAACUAGACUGGGCUACUAGCAAGUGAUAUGUCGCAGGAUUCGAGCUAGUUGUGAACUGGAUAUUUCAAUGUUGUGUGCACUUUUUUCAUCGUCGCUGUCACUUUCAACUAGAACCUACAUAUACAAAAAAUAGAUAAUCUUACAUUCAAACGUGUUUCGUAUCGUAAAUGUGAAGCUAUAAGAACAUAUUUUGAAUAAUUGAUGUCCGCUGUCGUGAUUUGGCCAUCAGCAAACAACAGUCGUCGACACGAAGGUGAAGAAAGUAAAUAACAUUUGCCAGAAUUAGGCUAGUACAGCACGAGACGUUUCUUGAACGUAUUUUCCUAAUAAAUUGUUUAUUUGUCCAAACUAUACUGCAACGAACGAGGUUUUACGCUUGUAUUUUAUCCGUAUCCCUCGUCGAAGC